GAUGAACGCUAGCGGCAGGCCUAAUACAUGCAAGCCGAACGGCAAGCUUUGUAGCAAUACAGAGCCUAGAGUGGCGUAAGGGUGCGUAACACGUAUGGAAUCUGCCCUCAACAGGAGGAUAGCCUACCCCGGAAAGGGGAAUUAACACUCCAUAGGAUAUAGGUGUGGCAUCACAUUUAUAUUAAACCGCGAAGGGGUUGAGGAUGAGCAUGCGCAUGAUUAGUUAGUUGGC
rnacentral:rRNA from 1 species